AAGGGGCAGCACUACCUAAGGACUGCGGAGGGACAUUACACAAAUAUGAAGGCGGGCUGGAACCUCUCGGGGUUACAGCCUUGCUGAAUUAUUCACCCUUGUCUUUUGCGUACUUCUUGUUUCCUUGGUGGGUUCGCCCACCACUAGGACAAACAUAAACCUUUUGUAAUUGCAAUCAGCGUCAGUAACAAAUUAAUAAUUACAACUUUCAACAACGGAUCUCUUGGUUCUGGCAUCGAUGAAGAACGCAGCGAAAUGCGAUAAGUAGUGUGAAUUGCAGAAUUCAGUGAAUCAUCGAAUCUUUGAACGCACAUUGCGCCCUUUGGUAUUCCAAAGGGCAUGCCUGUUCGAGCGUCAUUUGUACCCUCAAGCUUUGCUUGGUGUUGGGCGUCUUGUCUCUAGCUUUGCUGGAGACUCGCCUUAAAGUAAUUGGCAGCCGGCCUACUGGUUUCGGAGCGCAGCACAAGUCGCACUCUCUAUCAGCAAAGGUCUAGCAUCCAUUAAGCCUUUUUUUCAACUUUUGACCUCGGAUCAGGUAGGGAUACCCGCUGAACUUAAGCAUAUCAAUAAGCGGAGGAAAAGAAACCAACAGGGAUUGCCCUAGUAACGGCGAGUGAAGCGGCAACAGCUCAAAUUUGAAAUCUGGCUCUUUUAGAGUCCGAGUUGUAAUUUGCAGAGGGCGCUUUGGCUUUGGCAGCGGUCCAAGUUCCUUGGAACAGGACGUCACAGAGGGUGAGAAUCCCGUACGUGGUCGCUGGCUAUUGCCGUGUAAAGCCCCUUCGACGAGUCGAGUUGUUUGGGAAUGCAGCUCUAAAUGGGAGGUACAUUUCUUCUAAAGCUAAAUAUUGGCCAGAGACCGAUAGCGCACAAGUAGAGUGAUCGAAAGAUGAAAAGCACUUUGGAAAGAGAGUCAAACAGCACGUGAAAUUGUUGAAAGGGAAGCGCUUGCAGCCAGACUUGCUUACAGUUGCUCAUCCGGGUUUCUACCCGGUGCACUCUUCUGUAGGCAGGCCAGCAUCAGUUUGGGCGGUAGGAUAAAGGUCUCUGUCACGUACCUCCUUUCGGGGAGGCCUUAUAGGGGAGACGACAUACUACCAGCCUGGACUGAGGUCCGCGCAUCUGCUAGGAUGCUGGCGUAAUGGCUGUAAGCGGCCCGUCUUGAAACCACGGACC
rnacentral:rRNA from 1 species